UGCAGCGUCGUGGAUUCGGCGUGAUCGAAGGCGGUUUGUGGAUUCGAAUCGUGAGCUCGUGGCUUCGAGUGGCGUUUGUAGAUUCGGACGUGGGAGAAGCGGUUGAGAAUUCGAACGUAAGGGCAUGGACAACCCAGAGGCUUGCACGAAAUCCAUAGGAGGUUAAGAGAGGUCGAGUCCGUGAAGUCGGUAAUCACCUUGUAAUCUUUUCUCUUAGUGGAUUAUUUUUUUGCAUGUUGGUCCCGUGGAUUUUU
rnacentral:lncRNA from 1 species